GAUGAAGAACGCAGCGAAAUGCGAUAAGUAAUGUGAAUUGCAGAAUUCAGUGAAUCAUCGAAUCUUUGAACGCACAUUGCGCCCGCCAGUAUUCUGGCGGACAUGCCUGUUCGAGCGUCAUUUCAACCAUCAAGCCCCAGGCUUGUGUUGGAGCCCUGCGGCUGCCGCAGCCUCCCAAAACCAGUGGCGGGCUCGCUAUCACACCGAGUGCAGUAGUUUACUCUUCGCUCAGGGCGUGUGGCGGGUGCUAGCCGUAAAACCCCCAACUUCUCAAGGUUGACCUCGGAUCAGGUAGGAAUACCCGCUGAACUUAAGCAUAUCAAUAAGCGGAGGA
rnacentral:misc_RNA from 1 species